UUUAGGAAAAAAUUUUAAACUAGAUUAGUAUUAGUUAAAUACUUAAAAAUUAAAAGAUUUGGCGGUGAUUUAAUCUUUUCAGAGGAAUUUGUUUUUUAAUCGAUAAUCCACGAAAAAUCUUACUUGUUUUUGUUGAAUAAUAUCAGUUUGUAUACCAUCAUUAUCAGAUAAUUCUAAAAAGAAAAAUUAUCAAAAUAAAUAACUAUUAAAAUUAGAUCAUGGUGCAGCCUAUAAACAAGGUAAAAUGAAUUACAAUAAAUUAUUUUAUAAUGAAUUAAUAAAGUAAUUUUUAUUAUGAAGGAGGAUUUGAUAGUAUUAUAAAUUUAAUAAGUUUAUAAGAUAGUGGCUCUAAAUCACGCACAAGUCGCCCGUCGCU
rnacentral:rRNA from 1 species